UACGUAGGGGGCUAGCGUUGUCCGGAAUCAUUGGGCGUAAAGCGCGUGUAGGCGGCCCGGUAAGUCCGCUGUGAAAGUCGGGGGCUCAACCCUCGGAAGCCGGUGGAUACUGUCGGGCUCGAGUACGGAAGAGGCGAGUGGAAUUCCUGGUGUAGCGGUGGAAAUGCGCAGAUAUCAGGAGGAACACCGGUGGCGAAGGCGCCGCUCUGGGCCGAAACUGACGCUGAGGAGCGAAAGCAUGGGUAGCAAACAGG
rnacentral:rRNA from 1 species